ensembl:lncRNA
UGCACCUGUAAAAGGAGUGCCUCCUCCAACGUUGCCUUGCACAAACACUCCUAAAGACAGAGCAAGCAAGGAGCCCAAGGCUCGCUUCUCUCUCUGCUCACCAUCUCCCAGCUUGCUCAGCCAACACUUCCACCUAGCGGCCUGCUCCGCUCAUGCUGCAACCACCGUGGCUGUGAGAUGCGAUCCGGACUUUCUGCAGAGUCACAUUAAGCAACAUGUAAUCCUCCCUCCUUGUCCUUGGGACAGUGAAACUUGCAUGGUUCUACACACCUUCAUGCACAUUGCUGACAAUGAUGAUAGUAGUGAACAUCCUGCUGGACUUCAGUUCUUCAGUGCACUUCAUGGGUACUUUGACAUCAGUUGAAAAUGCAGCCUACGCAUAUGAGAAGACCUCCAGAGCACGAAAACCACAGCUCUCAUCUUGUGGUCCAGCAUGGUAUGGAGCCCUGUGCCUAUGUGUGUGCACAUUUGUUUCAGUCAGACUCUGCCUGGAGAUGAUAACAACACUACAAAAGCCCAGACAAAGACAAGAAAUAUGAAGCAGGCAGAAGCAAAGACUGUGGGAAAAGGGGCAGGGGGAAGGGGAAACAAACAAAUUCCAAAAAUAAGACAUUUACUUCCACUCAUUUAAAGUGCAUGGAAGCCAGACAAGUGAGAGACCAUGGCAUAAGCCCUACUCUCCUGAGUGUGUGUGACAAUGUCAGGGAGACCGGGGGACAUUGUAUAGACUCCCUGUACUAUGAAGGUUUACUCUCCAUAACUCACGGAACAGCAGGAAAUUUCCACAGGAUUGACAGAAAGCUUGUCUUGAGCUAAUAUUUUAAAAAGGUAAAGGAGACAACCCAGGUAAUUAUAGGCUUGUCAGCCUGACAUCGAUCCCAGGUAAAAUAAUGGAGCAGCUAAUAGGGGGAAUAUAAUUCAUGCCCAUCAGCAGGGGUUUAUGGAAAACAAACCCUGUCAAAUGAACUUAAUAUCUUUCUUUGCCUCAAUUACAAGUUUGGUAGAUGAAGUCAACAAGGUUGAUGAAAAAAUACUUAGAUAUCGCCAAAGCAUUCAGCUUGGUGUCAUGCACCACUUGGGUUUAAAUAUUAAAAUAAUACAAAGCCAAUGGGGCAUGUAGUAAAUGGAACAAACUGUCAGAGAACUGAAAAUAUGACUGAACAGAAAAUGUUGUCAUCUUGAUGGUGUGGUAUGUGUUGGGACCCACAAGGUCUGGUGGAAGUCACGGUGGUAUUUUACAUUCAUACCUGUAAUUCACUAAAAUCUGUUAAUGAAAACUGUGAUAUCACUAUGAAUGGAAGGGUGGAAAUUUGCAACGAGGGAUCACUGAUAUGGACACGUUCUUAAUUUCAGUAUCAAGUAAGGUAGAAUCAGAUAAAACUUUCAGUUGAGUCAAAUGUGAAGACACCUAGGAACAAAAAACGUAGGCAGUGUUUACAGGACAGGGAACAGGGGAAAAAUGUUUGCAAAAGUAAGUCAUGGACUCCAGUUUUUCAAGCAGAAAGUGUCCAGUGCAUCACUGUGACCAAAACACACAAUAAAGUAUUUAUUAGGGCUAUUUCUGAGGGCA